rnacentral:rRNA from 1 species
GCUUAACCGAAGAAGUGCAUCGGAAACUGGGUGACUUGAGUGCGGAAGAGGACAGUGGAACUCCAUGUGUAGCGGUGGAAUGCGUAGAUAUAUGGAAGAACACCAGUGGCGAAGGCGGCUGUCUGGUCUGCAACUGACGCUGAGGCUCGAAAGCAUGGGUAGCGAACAGGAUUAGAUACCCUGGUAGUCCAUGCCGUAAACGAUGAGUGCUAGGUGUUGGAGGGUUUCCGCCCUUCAGUGCCGGAGCUAACGCAUUAAGCACUCCGCCUGGGGAGUACGACCGCAAGGUUGAAACUCAAAGGAAUUGACGGGGGCCCGCACAAGCGGUGGAGCAUGUGGUUUAAUUCGAAGCUACGCGAAGAACCUUACCAGGUCUUGACAUCUUGCGCUAACCUAAGAGAUUAGGUGUUCCCUUCGGGGACGCAAUGACAGGUGGUGCAUGGUCGUCGUCAGCUCGUGUCGUGAGAUGUUGGGUUAAGUCCCGCAACGAGCGCAACCCUUGUUACUAGUUGCCAGCAUUCAGUUGGGCACUCUAGUGAGACUGCCGGUGACAAACCGGAGGAAGGUGGGGACGACGUCAGAUCAUCAUGCCCCUUAUGACCUGAGCUACACACGUGCUACAAUGGUCGGUACAACG